GCUGGCGGCGUGGAUAAGACAUGCAAGUCGAACGGGACUUUUUCUGGUAGCAAUACCGGGAAAAGUUAGUGGCGAACGGGUGCGUAACACGUGGGCAAUCUGCCAUGAAGUGGGGGAUAGCUCGGCGAAAGCCGAAUUAAUACCGCAUGUGAUCAGUGAAGACAUCUUCACGACAUUAAAGCCGGGGCAACCUGGCGCUUCUUGAUGAGCCCGCGGCCUAUCAGCUAGUUGGUGAGGUAACGGCUCACCAAGGCGGUGACGGGUAGCUGGUCUGAGAGGACGACCAGCCACACUGGAACUGAGACACGGUCCAGACACCUACGGGUGGCAGCAGUCGAGAAUUUUUCUCAAUGGGGGAAACCCUGAAGGAGCGACGCCGCGUGGAGGAUGAAGGCUUUCGGGUUGUAAACUCCUGUCAUUUGGGAACAAUGUUCCGCUAUUAACUGUAGCAGGAUUGAUAGUACCAGAAGAGGAAGAGACGGCUAACUCUGUGCCAGCAGCCGCGGUAAUACAGAGGUCUCAAGCGUUGUUCGGAUUCAUUGGGCGUAAAGGGUGCGUAGGUGGCGCGCUAAGUCAGGUGUGAAAUUUCGGAGCUUAACUCCGAAACUGCAUUUGAUACUG
rnacentral:rRNA from 1 species